rnacentral:rRNA from 1 species
CAAUUCAAUAUAACUUGAUUAUGAUAAAUAUUAUUUUUAUUUUUUGUUGUUUAUAUUUUUUUGGAAAAUAUUUUUUUGUUAUUGUAUUUAUUUAAGAUUUAAUUUUAUAUAUAAUAUUUUAUUAGUAUUGUGAAUGGUUUAUGAAAUAUAUUAAUUUAUUUUUGAAAGUAUUAUUUAUUUUAUGUACCUUGUGUAUCAGGGAUUAUUUAAAGAAUUUAUUUAUAUUAAAGUUCCCGAUUUUAUGAGAGUUAACGUAUUAUUAUAGUUAUUGUAUUAUAAAUAUUUUUAAUAAUAUGUUGGUUGUGAAAUAUAAUUCGUUCUUAAAUAUAUCUGGUUUUUCUAGAAAUAAAUUUAAUUUAUAUUAUUGUUUAUAAUUAUUUAUUUUAAUAUAUUUAAUUUUAGUGAUAAUAAAUAUUAUGGGGGAUUAGCUUUAUAGUAUAUUUUUAUAAAUUAUUACUUUAAUAAUAGUGUUGUGGAUUUAGAAGUGAUUAUUAAUUAGAGGAUGUUAAAAUUUAUUUUUUUUAUUAUUGGAUUUUUAUUAAUUUUAAUUUUUUAUAGGAAUAGUUAUAUUAAUACCUUAUUUAUUGUAAUAAUGAUAAUAUUAGUAUAUUUCUUGUUUAUGGUGAAUUUUUUGAAUGUAAAUUAUUUAUUAUGAAUUAGGCAAAAGUUGUGUUCGCCUGUUUAACAAAAACAUCUUUUCUUGUAUUAUUUAUGAAGUAUAACCUGCCCACUGUUGAACAAUGAAGGGCUGCGGUAUUUUGACCGUACAAAGGUAGCAUAAUCAUUAGUCUUUUAAUUGGAGGCUGGAAUGAAGGGUUGGACGAGAUACAUUCUGUAUUAUAAUUAUUAAUUUUGAAUUUAAUUAUUAAGUUAUAAAGCUUAAAUGUUUUUAUGGGACGAGAAGACCCUAUAGAACUUUAUAUUAAUUAAUAUAUUGUUGGUAAUAUGACGAUUUAUAUAUUAUUUAAUAUUUUAUUGGGGUGAUAGGGAGAUAAGAUUAACUCUCUUUGUUGUUGAAUAUUUAUUUAUAAUUAUUUUGAUCCUUUUUUAGUGAGAUGAAAGAAUAAGUUACCUUAGGGAUAACAGCGUAAUCCUUUUUGAGAGUUCAUAUCGAUAAGGGGGUUUGCGACCUCGAUGUUGGAUUAAGAUUAAUUAUGGGUGAAGAAGUUCAUUAUAUUAGGUCUGUUCGACCUUUAAAAUCUUACAUGAUCUGAGUUCAAAUCGGUGUAAGCCAGAUUGGUUUCUAUCUAUAAUUUAUUUAUAUUUAUUUUAGUACGAAAGGACCAAAUAAUUUAAAUAAUUUUAUAAUUAAGAUUAAUAUUAAUUAACUAUUUUGGCAGAAAAGUGUGAUGGAUUUAGAAUCUAUAAAUG